AACACAUUGUAGUACAACAGGCCACCCAACAAUAUGCUUAAACUUACCCUUUGUCUUGUGCUUGUCGCAGUGAGUGUCUAUGGCCAAUUACAUACUGAUCAUGGUGAACACCACCAUGGUACCUCAGUGUGCGCAUAUAUAGCUGGUGCUGAUUGUUCUAUAUUCGCUGACCAUGUAUUUUGUGCUACUGAUGCCAAGACUUACAACAAUAGAUGUGAAUUUUCUAAAGCUCAUUGUCUUGAACCGGAACUCCAUUUCUCCCACAAUGGUACCUGUGAUCCUACUGUUGACAAACCUGAUCCUAAUCUCCAUGGUAACGACCUGGUCUACAUAUUCUUCUGUAACAAUCUAAAACAUCAAACAUGUGGUGCGGAUCUAGAAAUCGUAUGCGGUACUGAUGGCAAAACUUACGAUAAUUUGUGCCUUUUUGAACAAGCAAGAUGCGACAACAUCAACCUUCAAGUCCAGACCUAUCAAGCUUGUCCUGUAUAAUGUCAGUUUCAGUAACGUGUAGAAAAAAUAUAUCUAUAUAUAUCAAUAAACAUAAUCAUACAAGUUUA